CAUAGUGUAGCUUAUACUGUAAAGCAUCUGGUCUACACCCAGAAGAUUCCACAACCAAUGGACACCAUGA
rnacentral:tRNA from 2 species